rnacentral:rRNA from 1 species
AUUGAACGCUAGCGGCAGGCUUUACACAUGCAAGUCGAACGAGUGGCGGACGGGUGAGUAAUAUAUGGGAACGUGCCCGAUGGAGGGGGAUAACUACUGGAAACAGUGGCUAAUACCGCAUACUAUAGGAUGGGCCCAUAUGGGAUUAGCUAGUUGGUGGGGUAAAGGCUCACCAAGGCAACGAUCCGUAGCUGGUUUGAGAGGAUGACCAGCCACACUGGGACUGAGACACGGCCCAGACUCCUACGGGAGGCAGCAGUGGGGAAUUUUGGACAAUGGGGGAAACCCUGAUGCAGCCAUCCCGCGUGUAUGAGAAGGCCUUCGGGUUGUAAAGUACUUUUGGCAGAGAAGCGGUAUCUGCAGAAUAAGCACCGGCUAACUACGUGCCAGCCGCCGCGGUAAUAC